AAUAAAUUUUUUCGACGGUUAACAAUCAGAAAUUAUUAUUCAAAUAAGUAAGCACGAAUUUUUAAAAAUUAAAUUACAUAAAAUAAUUCCCUUAUAUUGUCAUUAAAUAACUAAAUAUCAUCUGUGAUAUGUCUCUCCUGUAAAAAGACGUUUUCUUUGUCAUCAAACAUGUGUUGAACUGAUGCAUAGAUUGGAGGAAGGCAAUAUCGAGGUCCUAAUGCCAAUUUAUCAACGUAUUUGAAAUACACCUGAAAGAAUAGCCGUAGUUGAAUAUUAUUUGACCCAUAAUAGUCUAGUAAACUAUUUGAGAAACCUACUGUGUCAAAUGAUUAUAAAAUUCAAAUUUGAGGACCAUUUUUCUUCAAAUUUAGUAAACGAUAAUCAGCUAUCAAGAUCCUUUUCUUCGUUCAGGAUUCAAGUUUCCAGAUUUAAGGAGAUAGCUUAUCAAAUAGUCGACUUCUUUCCAUCAGAAAAUGUUUCAUUAUAUUACUCUCCAUUCAACAAAAUCAACGGAAAGUGUGUACCCCCAAAUGGCAAAUUAUUUGACUAAUAUCAUUAUUUUAAAAGUCAUUUGAUCAGUAAUCAUAUCUAAGUGAUGACAUUUUAAUUUAUUUCUAUUUUUGGACGUUUUUAUAAAAAUUUUGAAAUAACUAAUACUAUCCGAAAGUUUGAAUAUAUCAUUGAAUCAAAUUUUGCAAUAUAAAUUUUUACCGCUUUUUUUAUUCGAUUCAGCUAAAAUGUUUUUUUGUCUUCAAUGUAAUGAACACUUUGAAACCACAUCAAGCUAUAUAAGACAUGUCUCUAUUUUUCAUAAAAAUUUAAGUAAAUUUAAAUGUGGUGAGAAGAAAUGUACGAGAAUUUUUUCAUCAUUAAAUUCACUUCGCAAACACACUAAUUUCAAACAUAAUCUUAAUUUUGAGAGGAAUACAGUCUGUAACAAUCAAACAAAAAAGAAAAAAGUUUUUAUUUCUACCUGCCAUAAUUCUAAUAUUUUAAA